UGGGGAAUAUUGCACAAUGGGCGCAAGCCUGAUGCAGCGACGCCGCGUGGGGGAUGAAGGCCUUCGGGUUGUAAACCCCUUUCAGCAGGGAAGAAGCGAAAGUGACGGUACCUGCAGAAGAAGCGCCGGCUAACUACGUGCCAGCAGCCGCGGUAAUACGUAGGGCGCAAGCGUUGUCCGGAAUUAUUGGGCGUAAAGAGCUCGUAGGCGGUCUGUCGCGUCUGCUGUGAAAACCCGAGGCUCAACCUCGGGCCUGCAGUGGGUACGGGCAGACUAGAGUGUGGUAGGGGAGACUGGAAUUCCUGGUGUAGCGGUGGAAUGCGCAGAUAUCAGGAGGAACACCAAUGGCGAAGGCAGGUCUCUGGGCCACAACUGACGCUGAGGAGCGAAAGCAUGGGGAGCGAACAGGAUUAGAUACCCUGGUAGUCCAUGCCGUAAACGGUGGGCACUAGAUGUGGGGCUCUUUCCAUGAGUUCCGCGUCGCAGCUAACGCAC
rnacentral:rRNA from 1 species